ensembl:lncRNA
CUGUAAUGGCCCUGAUAUUUGCAAAUGCACAUUAUUUUGACUAUGCUGUGGGCAAAACAGGCCCUAAGGGGCCAUCAGGAUACAUGAACCACUGCUACAAGAGCCCAUUUCUGUAGAAGCUCAUACUAGGUGGCAAACAGCAGGCAGUGGGCGGCCUUUGGCAGGCUGAAAGAUGCUGGGUUGUGUACAGACCAGAUAGAUGAGGCUCGUGAUGUCCAAGACUUCUCCAUGCCUGAGGAAAGGUUCUGGGGCAUUGACCCAUUGAGAUGCUGCGUAGCUGAGGGUACUGGCUUUGUGGGCAGGCAUUCCUGCUGUGUGACCUUGGAUAACUCAUUUCUCCUUGGCAGACCCGAUAAUUCUUUUCUGAAAACUGAUGCCAACAGUGUUUAGGCUACAAGUAACAAAAUGUCUGGCUAGCAGUGGCCUAAGCAACAAGGACGUUUGUCACCUCUCGGAGGGAGCAGCCUAGAGGUGGCCAUCCUGCAAGAGACCACCAAUGGAGCCUGCUGCAGACAGGCAGGUCUGUGCACGCCCUACCCAGGUCCCGAGUUGUGUGGAAGAUGCCGAAUCACCCCGCUGCAGACAGGCAGGUCUGCCCAUGCCCUACCGAGGUCCCCAGUCGCGCGGAAGACACUGAAUCACCCCGCUGCAGACAGGCAGCCACCUGGUUCCACACUACAAAGAUGCAGAGGACAACAGACCACUAGACCAAGAUUUUCUCUUGGAUCAUUUUGGGGAAAGUUGGCUGCCACAUCAAGAGGCCACUUAGGCAGCUGUGGAGUUAUCCACACUGCAAGGAUACCUGCCAAGAGCCACAUGAAUGACCUUGGAAGUGGAUUUUGCUGCCCCACUCAACCCCUCAGAUGACAACCUCACAAGAGACCCUGCACCAGAGUCACUGAGCUAAGCUGCCCAGAGAUUCCUGACCUUCAGGGGGCAUGUUAGAUAGUGAAUGUUUAUUGCUUUACACUGGUAAAUGAUGGA